AAUAGCCUUUAUAAAUCAAAACUGUACCUGUAAAUGAUACUUUGUUUGAAAAGGAAUAAAAGUUGUCUCUUGUGUUCAAUUGUACUGGAAACUGCCGUGAUUCGUACAUAUUGGUAGGCCAUUUUUUCUGUUUUGCAGAAAUGUAUGUAGAGGCACAUUUUUCCAAUGAGCAUAUGUUGCAACCAGAGUUUUGGAUGUUGUAUCAUGGCUGUUUAGGCAGAAAAACCUCAUUAAAAGUCUCUGCGGUGUUCAUCUGUGUCUCUCACAGAUUCUCAGGGUUCAGAGUGAUUUCCUCUAAACGGAAGGGACUUUCCACCUGACACAUCAGGAUUUCCUGAGCGUGAGUAAUGUGUGACGCUGACUGAUGUGAUGAAAACUUCAGCUCCUUCAUCUCUUCUUUCACAGCAUUAAAGUCAACCUGACUGCUGCUGAAUUCAGGACUGAAAUCACUGGAGUUUCUGUCAGUUCUGUCAUGAAUGUGUCCAGAGGAUCAUCAGACAGGACUGUGUUCCUCUUGAAGUCCUCUCACAGGCAAACUGAAGAGGAUCCAGCAAGGGGCCAGUGAUGUCCUUCGUGUAGGCCAACAUCAGUUAUCAGUUCAGGAGGAAUCACUUGGCCCGGCUCGCUAGAUCCACCUUUCCAUGAUCCCCCC